rnacentral:tRNA from 1 species
GAGAAAGGUUCGCACGACAAGUGGAGCCUGCUAAAUUCCAUUUCCUUCGGUUGAACUCCGGAGCUUUACUCG